GUGCCCUAGUACGGCGAGUGAACAGGCAAGAGCUCAGAUUUGAAAGGCACUUUUGUGCCGUUGUAUUCUGAAGUUAGGGUCCUGAGAAACGAUGCUUAAGUCUUCUGGAAAGGAGCGCCAUGGAGGGUGAUAGCCCCGUCUAGCAUUGACCUCAUAUAGGAUCUUAACAUGGAGUCGAGUUGUUUGGGAAUGCAGCUCAAAUGGGUGGUAUGCUCCAUCUAAAGCUAAAUAUCUGCGAGAGACCGAUAGUAAACAAGUACUGUGAGGGAAAGAUGAAAAGAACUUUGAAAAGAGAGUGAAAAAGUACGUGAAAUUGUUGAAAUGGAAGGGUAGGCCGCUAACCAUGUAGAGCCGUGUUUGGGGGGAAGAUAAAUGCUGUAGAAUGUAGCUCCUCGGAGUAUUAUAGAUGCAGUUCAUAUUCCCACCCGAGCGCGAGGAUCUCAGGUUCUACUAAAUGGUGGUCUACCACCCGUCUUGAACCACGGACCAAAA
rnacentral:rRNA from 1 species